rnacentral:rRNA from 1 species
ACUGAACGCUGGCGGCAGGCUUAACACAUGCAAGUCGAGCGGAGCGAGGGUGCUUGCACCUUAGCUUAGCGGCGGACGGGUGAGUAAUGCUUAGGAAUCUGCCUAUUAGUGGGGGACAACAUUCCGAAAGGAAUGCUAAUACCGCAUACGCCCUACGGGGGAAAGCAGGGGAUCUUCGGACCUUGCGCUAAUAGAUGAGCCUAAGUCGGAUUAGCUAGUUGGUGGGGUAAAGGCCUACCAAGGCGACGAUCUGUAGCGGGUGUGAGAGGAUGAUCCGCCACACUGGGACUGAGACACGGCCCAGACUCCUACGGGAGGCAGCAGUGGGGAAUAUUGGACAAUGGGCGGAAGCCUGAUCCAGCCAUGCCGCGUGUGUGAAGAAGGCCUUUUGGUUGUAAAGCACUUUAAGCGAGGAGGAGGCUCUUAAGGUUAAUACCCUUGAUGAGUGGACGUUACUCGCAGAAUAAGCACCGGCUAACUCUGUGCCAGCAGCCGCCGUAAAAC